AUGAUGGGUAGGGGAGCUUCGUAUGCAGGCUGAAGCAUGACCGUAAGGACAUGUGGACAGUAUACGAGUGAGAAUGUUGGCAUGAGUAGCGAGACGUGGGUGAGAAUCCCACGGGCCGUAAACCCAAGGUUUCCAGGGGAAGGUUCGUCCGCCCUGGGUUAGUCGGGACCUAAGCCGAGGCCGAAAGGCGUAGGUGAUGGACAACAGGUUGAUAUUCCUGUACCGCCAAUAAGCGUUUGAGAGAUGGAGUGACACAGUAGGAUAAGCUAACCGUACUGUUGGUUAUGUACGGCUAAGCAUUGAGGCAGUCUAAAUAGGCAAAUCCGUUUAGACAAUGCUAGGAUGUGAUGGGGAAGCCCUUCGGGGCGAAGUAGCUGAUUUCACACUGUCAAGAAAAGCUUCUAUCGAGUUUAAAGGCGCCCGUACCGUAAACCGACACAGGUGGGUGAGGAGAGUAUCCUAAGGCCAGCGAGAGAACUAUUGUUAAGGAACUCGGCAAAAUGACCCCGUAACUUAGGGAGAAGGGGUGCCUGUCUAUGACAGGCCGCAGAGAAUAGGCCCAAGCGACUGUUUACCAAAAACACAGGUUUCUGCUAAGUCGCAAGACGAUGUAUAGGAGCUGACGCCUGCCCGGUGCUGGAAGGUUAAGGGGAUCUGCUAGAGCAAUCGAAGCAGUGAACUUAAGCCCCAGUAAACGGCGGCCGUAACAAUAACGGUCCUAAGGUAGCGAAAUUCCUUGUCGGGUAAGUUCCGACCCGCACGAAAGGCGUAACGAUUUGGGCACUGUCUCAACAAUAGACUCGGUGAAAUUGUAAUCCCGGUGAAGAUGCCGGGUACCUGCGACAGGACGGAAAGACCCCAUGGAGCUUUACUGUAGCUUGACGUUGGGUCUUGGUACUACAUGUACAGGAUAGGUGGGAGACUAUGAAGCAUGGACGCCAGUCUGUGUGGAGUCAUCCUUGGGAUACCACCCUUGUAGUACUGGGAUCCUAACCAUAGGCCUUGAAUCAGGUCUUGGAACACCGUCAGGUGGGCAGUUUGACUGGGGCGGUCGCCUCCUAAAAAGUAACGGAGGCGCUCAAAGGUUUCCUCAGCACGGUCGGAAAUCGUGCGAAGAGUGUAAAGGCAAAAGGAAGCUUGAUUGCAAGACAUACAGGUCGAGCAAGGACGAAAGUCGGACUUAGUGAUCCGGUGGUACCGCAUGGAAGGGCCAUCGCUCAACGGAUAAAAGCUACCCUGGGGAUAACAGGCUUAUCUCCCCCAAGAGUCCAUAUCGACGGGGAGGUUUGGCACCUCGAUGUCGGCUCAUCACAUCCUGGGGCUGUAGUAGGUCCCAAGGGUUGGGCUGUUCGCCCAUUAAAGUGGUACGCGAGCUGGGUUCAGAACGUCGUGAGACAGUUCGGUCCCUAUCCGUCGCAGGCGUAGGAAAUUUGAGAAGACCUGUCCUUAGUACGAGAGGACCGGGAUGGACGUACCUCUGGUGUACCAGUUGUUCUGCCAAGGGCAUGGCUGGGUAGCUAUGUACGGAAUGGAUAAGCGCUGAAAGCAUCUAAGCGCGAAGCCAACUUCAAGAUAAGAUUUCCCACCGUAAGGGUAAGACCCCAGGAAGACUACCUGGUUGAUAGGUCGAAGGUGUAAGUGCAGUAAUGUAUUUAGCUUAUCGAUACAAAUAGGUCGAGGACUUGAC
rnacentral:rRNA from 1 species